ensembl:lincRNA
AUAUAUCCUAGGUGGCACAACAAGAGAUUGAAAAAAUCUGCGCAGAUUGUUUUACAUACCUCAAUAGAGCCUUUCAUAUAAUUCUGAGUGACUAAUUUCUUUCAGCCUGUUUAGACAGGAUUAGAUCGAACUGAGAAUCUCUCCUAACAUAAUUACGUGAUUAUCUUGGGAUUCUUCUUUUGUUGCUCAUCUUGAUACAUCACAUCAGUUGGAAGAGAAAAUCUGUCGAAUUAUACAUGUCGAGUUCUAGAAUUUUGUGAAUGUAAGCACACAGUCUUUGAGAUGUAAGAACUUUAUGACAUAAUUAUGAAGAUAAACAUUGAUCCUCACAUCUGCUCUGUCAAACUAAGCGUAAGUGGUUCACAGUCUGUACCACAGCUAAAUUUAAAAGCUGAGAACCCACUCUAUCAUCAUUAAAUAGCGGCAGUUCCUGCAAGUUUUUAAGGGUUAUUGGAAGAUGACUUUACUCGUCUUCAUACAGUUUCACCUAAAUUGUGAGUUCCAAAAUAGCAAGAGUGUUUUCUAUUUCAUUUACUAUUACUUAUCUAAGAC